rnacentral:rRNA from 1 species
UACGGAGGGUGCAAGCGUUAUCCGGAUUCACUGGGUUUAAAGGGUGCGUAGGCGGGCUGGUAAGUCAGUGGUGAAAUCUCCCGACUCAAUUGGGAAAUUGCCAUUGAUACUACCGGUCUUGAGUUCAGUUGAAGUGGGCGGAAUGUGUCAUGUAGCGGUGAAAUGCAUAGAUAUGACACAGAACACCGAUUGCGAAGGCAGCUUGCUAAACUGACACUGACGCUGAGGCACGAAAGCGUGGGGAUCAAACAGG